UACGUAGGGGGCAAGCGUUGUCCGGAAUCAUUGGGCGUAAAGAGCGUGUAGGCGGCCCGGUAAGUCCGCUGUGAAAGUCCAGGCUCAACCCUGGGAUGCCGGUGGAUACUGUCGGGCUCGAGUCCGGAAGAGGAGUGUGGAAUUCCUGGUGUAGCGGUGAAAUGCGCAGAUAUCAGGAGGAACACCUAUUGCGAAGGCAGCUCGCUGGGACGUAACUGACGCUGAGACGCGAAAGCGUGGGGAGCAAACAGG
rnacentral:rRNA from 1 species